UACGUAGGGUGCAAGCGUUGUCCGGAAUUAUUGGGCGUAAAGAGCUCGUAGGCGGCUUGUCGCGUCGACUGUGAAAGCCCGCGGCUCAACCGCGGGUCUGCAGUCGAUACGGGCAGGCUAGAGUUCGGUAGGGGAGACUGGAAUUCCUGGUGUAGCGGUGAAAUGCGCAGAUAUCAGGAGGAACACCGAUGGCGAGGGCAGGUCUCUGGGCCGAUACUGACGCUGAGGAGCGAAAGCGUGGGGAGCGAACAGG
rnacentral:rRNA from 1 species